GCCUGGCUGGCUCAGUUGAUGGAGCAUAUGGCUCUUGAUCUAGGGUUGUGGGUUUAAGCCCCAUGUUGGGUA
rnacentral:tRNA from 1 species